rnacentral:sRNA from 1 species
AUAAUUAAAGAACGUUACCCCUGAUGUCUCUUGCAAGUUGUGUCUCCUGUCCUG